UUUACUCUUGGUAGAGCUGGAGGCCCCCUGCUACAUUUACAAGCUAUACUGACUCCAAGAACCAGGAAGACAUGUCUCUGCCAGUGAUUUGCCUGGUCUCGCAUUCAGACGAGCUGAGAGUCUGCACCUCACCUGCUGAGGAAACCUGGUGGGGAAGUGAUCAAGGGGGCAGCACAAAGACCAGUGAGCACCAUGACGAGCAUUUUCAGAUACUUCCAGUAACACGCUUGUAUGGAAGAGGGAUUUGUCGCUUUCGCAAACGUCAAAUGGAAGGGGUAGCCCGUGCUUCCAUUUGCCCAAGUGAGAUCAGCGCCUCCUUUUCUUCAUCAAUACACCGUAAAUAAAAACCCUUGCUGGGCUGGGAGAAAAUGAUCACAUCUGUGCUUUUAGGAAAAAAGAAGAAAAGACUACCGGUUCUUACAAGAAUUAAAUAAGAAGAUGUGCAGGUCCAGAAGUCAGAAACAAAGCACAGUCUUUAAAUAAAGUUUGAUAUUUCCCGCUUAA